UACGGGGGGGGCAAGCGUUGUUCGGAAUUACUGGGCGUAAAGGGCUCGUAGGCGGCCAACUAAGUCGGAUGUGAAAUCCCCAGGCUCAACUUGGGAACUGCAUCCGAUACUGGAUGGCUUGAAUUCGGGAGAGGGAUGCAGAAUUCCAGGUGUAGCGGUGAAAUGCGUAGAUAUCUGGAGGAAUACCGGUGGCGAAGGCGGCAUCCUGGACCGACAUUGACGCUGAGGAGCGAAAUCUAGGGGAGCAAACGGG
rnacentral:rRNA from 1 species